rnacentral:rRNA from 1 species
GUGACUGCGUACCUUUUGUAUAAUGGGUCAGCGACUUAUAUUCUGUAGCAAGGUUAACCGUAUAGGGGAGCCGGAGGGAAACCGAGUCUUAAUUGGGCGUUAAGUUGCAGGGUAUAGACCCGAAACCCGGUGAUCUAGCCAUGGGCAGGUUGAAGGUUGGGUAACACUAACUGGAGGACCGAACCGACUAAUGUUGAAAAAUUAGCGGAUGACCUGUGGCUGGGGGUGAAAGGCCAAUCAAACCGGGAGAUAGCUGGUUCUCCCCGAAAGCUAUUUAGGUAGCGCCUCGUGAAUUCAUCUCCGGGGGUAGAGCACUGUUUCGGCUAGGGGGCCAUCCCGGCUUACCAACCCGAUGCAAACUGCGAAUACCGGAGAAUGUUAUCACGGGAGACACACGGCGGGUGCUAACGUCCGUCGUGAAGAGGGAAACAACCCAGACCGCCAGCUAAGGUCCCAAAGUCAUGGUUAAGUGGGAAACGAUGUGGGAAGGCCCAGACAGCCAGGAUGUUGGCUUAGAAGCAGCCAUCAUUUAAAGAAAGCGUAAUAGCUCACUGGUCGAGUCGGCCUGCGCGGAAGAUGUAACGGGGCUAAACCAUGCACCGAAGCUGCGGCAGCGACGCUGAUGCGUUGUUGGGUAGGGGAGCGUUCUGUAAGCCUGUGAAGGUGUGUCGUGAGGCAUGCUGGAGGUAUCAGAAGUGCGAAUGCUGACAUAAGUAACGAUAAAGCGGGUGAAAAGCCCGCUCGCCGGAAGACCAAGGGUUCCUGUCCAACGUUAAUCGGGGCAGGGUGAGUCGACCCCUAAGGCGAGGCCGAAAGGCGUAGUCGAUGGGAAACGGGUUAAUAUUCCCGUACUUGGUGUUACUGCGAAGGGGGGACGGAGAAGGCUAUGUUGGCCGGGCGACGGUUGUCCCGGUUUAAGCGUGUAGGUGUGUGUUCCAGGUAAAUCCGGUUCACUUUAACACUGAGGCGUGACGACGAGGCACUACGGUGCUGAAGCAACAAAUGCCCUGCUUCCAGGAAAAGCCUCUAAGCAUCAGGUAACACGAAAUCGUACCCCAAACCGACACAGGUGGUCAGGUAGAGAAUACCAAGGCGCUUGAGAGAACUCGGGUGAAGGAACUAGGCAAAAUGGUGCCGUAACUUCGGGAGAAGGCACGCUGACACGUAGGUGA